UGGGGAAUUUUGGACAAUGGGGGCAACCCUGAUCCAGCCAUUCCGCGUGAGUGAAGAAGGCCUUCGGGUUGUAAAGCUCUUUCAGCAGGAACGAAACGGUCGGCUUUAAUAAAGUCGGCUAAUGACGGUACCUGCAGAAGAAGCACCGGCUAACUACGUGCCAGCAGCCGCGGUAAUACGUAGGGUGCGAGCGUUAAUCGGAAUUACUGGGCGUAAAGCGUGCGCAGGCGGCGACAUAAGACAGAUGUGAAAUCCCCGGGCUCAACCUGGGAACUGCGUUUGUGACUGUGUUGCUAGAGUGUAGCAGAGGGGGGUGGAAUUCCACGUGUAGCAGUGAAAUGCGUAGAGAUGUGGAGGAACACCGAUGGCGAAGGCAGCCCCCUGGGUUAACACUGACGCUCAUGCACGAAAGCGUGGGGAGCAAACAGGAUUAGAUACCCGGGUAGUCCCUGAGCGGGCUGGCAAGGCGCAU
rnacentral:rRNA from 1 species